GACGAACGCUGGCGGCGUGCCUAAUACAUGCAAGUCGAGCGCAGGAAACUGACGGAACUCUUCGGAGGGAAGGCAGUGGAAUGAGCGGCGGACGGGUGAGUAACACGUAAGGAACCUGCCUCAAGGAUUGGGAUAACUCCGAGAAAUCGGAGCUAAUACCGGAUAGUUCAACGGACCGCAUGGUCCGCUGAGGAAAGGCGCUCCGGCGUCACCUUGAGAUGGCCUUGCGGUGCAUUAGCUAGUUGGUGGGGUAACGGCCCACCAAGGCGACGAUGCAUAGCCGACCUGAGAGGGUGAUCGGCCACACUGGGACUGAGACACGGCCCAGACUCCUACGGGAGGCAGCAGUAGGGAAUCUUCCACAAUGGACGAAAGUCUGAUGGAGCAACGCCGCGUGAGUGAUGAAGGUUUUCGGAUCGUAAAACUCUGUUGUAAGGGAAGAACACGUACGAGAGGUAAUGCUCGUACCUUGACGGUACCUUACGAGAAAGCCACGGCUAACUACGUGCCAGCCGCCGCGGUAAAAC
rnacentral:rRNA from 1 species